UGGGAACGUGCCCUUUGGUUCGGAGCAACUCCGGGAAACUAGAGCUAAUACCGGAUAAGCCCUUCGGGGGAAAGAUUUAUCGCCAAAGGAUCGGCCCGCGUCUGAUUAGCUAGUUGGCGGGGUAAUGGCCCACCAAGGCGACGAUCAGUAGCUGGUCUGAGAGGAUGAUCAGCCACACUGGGACUGAGACACGGCCCAGACUCCUACGGGAGGCAG
rnacentral:rRNA from 1 species